GAUAACAUGGUUAUGAAAAAUCGUAUAUCUCCUUAUAAAUGGCAAGGAAGUUUCUACCCUAGAGCCUUAAUCUAGGACUACGAAAAUUAUAUAUUUUAGU
rnacentral:ncRNA from 2 species